rnacentral:lncRNA from 1 species
GUGGAUGCUUAUUGGAGCUUAAACGAGCAUCGUCUCGCAAACUUCUGAAGUUUUGGGUCCUUCCUCCAUAAAAUUUGCUCAUUGACUCUUCUUUCACUUAGUUGUCACAUCCAAGUAGGUUCGUAUCACUUCCGCUUUCGAUUGGCAUUUCGUUGGGAAAUGAAGCGGACAAUCUACUCUCAGUAGCACUGAUCACCGUUGGUGAGGAUUUGACAACUAUUGUCUUUCAUUAUCUU